UACGUAGGGGGCUAGCGUUGUCCGGAUUUAUUGGGCGUAAAGAGCGUGUAGGCGGCCAGGUAGGUCUGGUGUGAAAACUCGAGGCUUAACCUCGAGAUGUCAUCGGAAACCAUUUGGCUAGAGUCCGGAAGAGGAGAGUGGAAUUCCCGGUGUAGCGGUGAAAUGCGUAGAGAUCGGGAAGAACAUCGGUGGCGAAAGCGCUCUACUGGACCGCAACUGACACUCAGGGACGAAAGCUAGGGGAGCGAAUGGG
rnacentral:rRNA from 1 species